AGGCUCUGGGAGGUCGCGAUAGGCCCAGUUGCCACCAGUCGCUGGUUUCCGGCCUUGGUAAAGCGCCGCGUCCUUAGCGUGGGUGUCGGGAAGGCGCCCUCGGAGACCUCCCUCCCGACGCCAGCCGCGCUCCACUGGGGGCGAGGCCUGGUCAGGCCUGCCGCGCCCGAGCUCACUUUCACUUCUUUGUUCUACUUGUUGCAAGAAGGAACAUCUGGCUCCGCGCCUGGAGAGCAGACUGGAUCCCGCCAUGCACCUGCCCCAGGAGGAGGAGGAGGCGCACUUGACACUGACAAAAGGUCCUGUGUCCGAGCACCAGUGGGAGAGCCGACGAGCAGGGAAAAGCUCCAGUGGCUGAGACGGUUAGCUGAGUAAGUUUACCCAGCCUAAGAAAAUAUUGUUUGCAGAGCAUUGUAUUUCUGCCUUUUUACAGGGUAAUUCCUGUUUGGUGAGUUUUCAAAGUAUCCUUUGGGGAGAAUAUUAAAAAGCUCUUGGCUGUAUUUAGCCCAGACAAAUACAGGCAGAUAUGAAAUUAUAAAAUCUUCCUGAUUUGCAGGGCUUUCUUUGUUCUCUGUGAUCAUUUGGGGAUUAAAUGACUCAGAGGAAUAAGAGUCAUUGUUUAGCAUUUGCC
rnacentral:lncRNA from 1 species